AGGGUGAAUAAUUUAAUGUUCUUUAUGUACAUACAUCUUUAUUUUGUAUGAGCGAUGAUAAGAUUGGAGGAUAACUUUUUGAGUCAGCGACUUAAUUAUGCUUGGAAAAUUAUUUGCUUUUGAAUAGUGCAUAAGAAGGGCGAGGUAUUAGUUUUAUUCGUAAAGAUAACAUGUACUAAUUUUGAUGUUGCCUUGUGAUGUUUCUUGUCCUCCAAAGAAUGUAGGUCUACACUAGGUUUUGCUCUUGUUAUAAAGUUUUUUGGCAAUCAUAUGAUGCAACUAUACAGAACUCAUAGAAAUCAUGAAGUUAUAAAUAUUUGUUUAUAGAUUGUCAAUGUGCAGUAUUUGGUCAGGUGACCUUUAUACUAGCUUGAUGUAUUCUCUGAAGUGUCCCAACUUUUUGCGAUGUAUUUUUCAUAUUCAUAAGACAUAUAGGCACAUAUGGACAAUAUAUGUGGGCUGCACUAAGCUUUAAUUUCAGAUUGUCUAUCGUAUUAUAAAGAAGUCCAGAAAUGCCAUGCCGUGUUUGUGGUUAGUUUAUGAUUUUAAGCACUUUCUCAUCCUUGAUGUCUACGAGGAGAUAAUUUCCUUAAGAUCUGGCAGGAUUUGUUAAAUUCACAUCCUUUUGGUUAAUGAAAUUGAAAUUAAGUGCAUCAUGUUUCUGUGACUCGGAAAGGACUGAAAGUUUUCCCCCAAUUUAGUGUAUGUAAAUUUAUCUGGUAAAAUAUAGUCGGGUCACACUUGAAUAAAAGAAUGUGUAUUUGUUCAAGUAUACCAAUUUUGUUUAUAGGAUAUACUCGAUUCUCUUAGAACAGGCAAGACCAGGAGUGGAAAAAGAUGAACAUCGACUUAUGUUGUUACUUCUAUGACUUGUAAUCUCCUGCUCUUUUGGAUCAUCUCCCAAUCGGAAGAUUCAUCCAGUCUUUCUGCAUAAGGGUGUGAGGUAAGAAAUUUAACCUUUAUUUUGAAAGGCAAGAAUCUUCCUUUGGUGUAAAGAAAAGUGGGAUGAAGCAAACAAAGAAGAGUCAGAACAACAGCUUCUAUAAUAUCAAGAAUUCUAUUAAUCCAAAAAAAUAAUCACCUAUGCUGUCCUCCCCAACCAGCUCUCAUCCAUUCAGCCUCACUUACUAAAAAGGAACAGCAGAACAACUUAGUUGAGGACAGAGCUACUGAAGCAAGUUCAGUCUGUGCUUGAUGCACAAAUAUAUCAGCCGCAUGUCUCCGUGCCCUAAUUCCCCCCCCCUCUUUGGUGAGAAUACACUAUUUGUAAUUAGGCUGUUCACUGUUGGUUAUUCAGGGACAAAAAUGGUAGUUUUGUACCUCUUGGGAACCCUGGAAAGUUUGAGGCACUUUAUAUAUUUCAUCUAUAAUUUAAUCUUUUUUUACAUCUUUUAUAUUCUUAUGAAGUUUCUGUUAUAUAUGGAUGUACUUGAUUUUGAAUAAAAAAGAUAACGUUCUCAUU